rnacentral:lncRNA from 1 species
CUUUAUGAAUGGUCAAAAACUUUUGGAGAGAAAAUGAUUUUUUUGCCCGAUAUUUUUCUGUAUCUUCUUUCCUUUGUCCGAUAAAUCUUUUUUGGCGAUUCGUCUUUGUUUACUCUGUCGAAGGCGAUUUCGAUGUUUGAGUAUCUCCGACAGCUUCUUUCCGAGUAUUCAGGUUCCGAUUUCGUCGAAGGCGAUUUCUGAUUGGGUUUGUGUAUAGUCGGGAAAACUGAUCUCUGAUAGGAAUCGGACGAUAAACUAUGCAAUACCAGUGUGAUUGUUUUGGUUAAAGCCAAUUUGAUUUUAAAAUCAGGAGAAAUCUGGCUGUUCCAUUUGUUUCUCUGUUGAAUUUCAUAUGAAUUUUGGGUUACGCCUAUCCUCUUACUGUAUUGAAAUUUAUAUACUCGCUUCUCUAGAUUACAUUUGCUGCUCGAAGUGUAGAUUGUUCAUUUUAUAUGUGUUUUGAUUCUCUUUGAUGGACGGUGUCAUUUGAUUAUAAUCCAUAAUCCUGCACCUGUCAUAAUUAAUAUUAUAAUAGCUCUACACCAUCGUUCAAAUAUGUUGUGAAAGUUGCAUGUGUGUUCCGUAACAAGAGCUUCCAUGUCUAGAAUGAAAGCAAAGGUCCUUUCACUUGUAAGUCUAUGUAAUUUAGCAUUGUCUCUCUAUUUAUUGUCUGUAACUCACUCACACCAAGUUUUGUGUUCCUGCAGUUUGCAUAAUGUGUUUGAGGCGGAUGGUGUAUCAUUUCUUGGUGAGGUUGCACGUGCAGGAAAUAAGCAUAUAGCCAAAACAAUUGCCAGAGAGGUUAGUAGUCCUAAAAAAAGAGCUUUCCUUCUUGAAUUGAAAGGCUUACCACUGGUUUGACGCUGCUACUUACGGAGAUUCCAUACUUAUUGAACAUCGUACUACUUUGUAACUUCUAAGUAGUCAUAGUCUCAUAGAUCAAGCCUCACUUCAAAAAGACUCAUGUUGGUUUAGUGAUAUCAUCUCCACUCUAGAUUCUAAACCUACAGUUUCCCCAAUGUCAUAUGUUGUUAAAUUUACAUUUUGUACUUUUCUGUUCCUCAAUUUCUCCAUGAACGUUAUAUUUCUGAAGUUAGUGUUGACCUAUUUGGUGAUGCUAUAUCUGUAAUCUAGGUUUUUGAAUUAUUGAGGCUUGGCUAUUGGUUAAUCUUUGAGUGGAUUGCGAAAGGAUCCUUCAAGCAUAUUGGUUAUUUGUUAAGGAAAAAGCUCUUUAUUGAUUGAAAAGAAGAAUUACAAUCCCAAGUGUAUAAGCUUGCAAGAUAGAAUCCACUUGAUCUCCACAAUCCAGAGAAUCAAGCCACACUCUCAAUUUCUAACUGACUGAAAAUAUCUAAUACUCUCAACCUUUUAUACUCAAGGUUGUUACAGGUUUGACUCUGUUGACUUAUACUAAUCAACCAACUAAAACUUGACAGCUCAUCCUUCCGUUGACCCUUCUUCUUGACCAUUUCCUCUCUUUCCUUUGCGAUAGUAUGACCUCCACGGCAUAUCAAUACCCGCCCUUUGGAGAACCAGCUUGUCCUCAAGUGGAAAUGUAGGAAACUGAUGUUUGAGUUCUCUUAUCUUCAUCCACGAAUUCUCAUGAUCUGGCAAGCCUUUCCACUUGAUAAGAACCUCUAGGUGACCUUCAGCUUCAUAGCGAGUAUCCAAAAUGUCUUCUGGUUCAAUCACCAACUCAUCCUCACUUGUCACCGAAAUGGGCAAUGGAGUGAUCACUACACCUUCCCCCAAUACAGGCUUGAGUUGUGAUACAUGAAAGACUGGAUGUAUUUUGGAUUCCUCCGGUAAACGCAACUGAUAUGCGACUUUCCCCACUUUCUCCAAUACCUUAUAUGGACCAUAGUAUCUCGCAGCCAGUUUCUGACAUAUCCUUCUGCUUACUGAUUGCUGACGGUAUGGUCGGAGUUUGAGAUAAACUUUGUCCCCCACUUCAAAGUUUAACUAUCGUCGAUGCUUAUCUGCGUUGUUCUUCAUUCGACUUUGAGCACGUACCAAGUUCUGUUUUACCAUCGAUAGCAUCGUAUCUCUUUCUUUGAGCAUAGUCUCCAAUUCAAAAUUGCUCGUUGAUCCUGGUUCGUAGCUCAACAAGGACGGAGGAUCGCGGCCAGAAACCAACUUAAACGGCGUACACUGUGUGGCCGUAUGGAAUCCAGUAUUUUACCAUAGCUCAGCCCACAUCAAAUACUUUGCCCAGUUCUUAGGUUGUUGGGAUGCAAAACAAUGCAGAUAUGUCUCAACACAGCGAUUAAGAACCUCAGAUUGGCCAUCUGAUUGGGGAUGAAACGCCGUGCUAAAACGAAGUUUAGUUCCUGAUGCUUUAAAACAUUCUCUCCAAAAGGAACUCAGAAAAAUUUUGUCUCUGUCGGAUAUGAUCGAACGAGGAUAACCGUGAAGCCUGACCACUUCUUGCACAAAUUUCUGAGCCACCUCACUUGCUGUAAAUGGAUGUUUUAGACUUAAGAAAUGUGCAUAUUUACUUAAGCUAUCUAUCACCACUAAGAUGACAUUUACACCGAGGGAUUUUGGAAGUCCUUCGAUGAAAUCCAUUGAUAUAUCCUCCCAUAUUCUUGUAGGCAGUUCAAUGGGUUGAAGGAGCCCUGCUAGAGACAGUGUUGAGUAUUUACUCGUUUGACAGGUUGCACACUCCGAAACAUACUUCUGCACACUAGCUCUCAUCUUUUUCCAGUAGAACAUUGAUUUAAUCCACAUUAAGUUUUCAGAAUGCCCGAGUGACCACCCAACACACUGUCGUGAUUUUCCUUGAGAAUCAAGGGAAUAUGUGCGGAUAACUGAGGUAAAACCAGUCUCUUCUUAUAAAAGAGUCACCAAUCAACCACCGUAUACCCUGGUUUAACUGGUUCCCCUGCAGAUACUUUCCGUAAUAUCUCUUGUAUCUCUUCAUCUUCAUCAAUUUCCUUAAACAGAUCAUGUAAUUGCAGAUUCGUUGGAAUAGUGAUGGAAUAUAGUAACGUUGUCGUUGAUGGUACUAUCCGUGAGAGACCAUCUGCAACUUUGUUUUCACUGCCCACUUUAUAUUCAAUAUCAAAAUCGUAUCCCAUAAUACGAGUGAGCCAACGCUGAUAGUCUAGAGUUACUUCUCUUUAUUCGAGUAAGUACUUAAGGCUCUGUUGAUAUGUCCGAACUACAAAUCUCCUUCCCAACAGAUAGUGGCGCCACUUUUGAAUUGAUAGCACGAUAGCCAUGAGCUCUCUCUCGUAUAUAGGUUUAAGUUGCUCCUUCUCCGUUAGCCCAUGACUGAAAUACGCUAUCGGAUGUUUACCCUGCAUCAACACUGCACCUAAGCCAUAACCCGAAGCAUCUGAUUCAAUGAUGAAUACCUGUGAUAAGUCUGGUAAUGCCAAAGCCGGUGUUGAGAUCAUCGCAACUUUCAAACUGUCAAAAGCGUUUUGUGCCUCUCUCGUCCACUCAAACGCCUCCUUCUUGAGUAGUUCUGUAAGAGGUUUAGCCAGUAAGCCAUAAUGCUGCACAAAUCUUCUGUAAUAUCCGGUUAAACCCAAAAAUCCUCUCACAUCCUUCACUGUUCUAUGUGUCGGCCAGUUCUUGACAGCACUUAUCUUCUGUGGAUCAGUAGAUACACCUUCAGCUGAAAUCACAUAACCCAAAUAUUCCACAGACUGUUGUGCAAAAGAGCAUUUCUUUUUGUUUGCAAACAACUUCUGUUCUUCGAACACCUUCAGCACUUGUUCCAAGUGUUUUACAUGGUCCGACAAGUUUGAACUGUAAACCAGUAUAUCAUCAAAAAAUAUCAACACAAACUUCCGGAGAAAGGGUCUAAAAACCUCAUUCAUCAGUGCCUGAAACGUUGUUGGGGCAUUUGUCAAGCCAAAAGGCAUGACAAUGAACUCAUAAUGGCUGUCAUGUGUUCGAAAAGCUGUCUUCUCAAUAUCCUUUUCUUGCAUUCUUAUCUGGUGAUAACCUGAUCGCAGAUCUUGUUUUGAGAACAACUUUGCUCCAUGAAGUUCAUCUAAGAGCUGGUCAAUCAUUGGUAUUGGAUAUUUAUCCGCUACCGUUGCCCGGUUUAAUUCUCUGUAAUCUACACAGAAUCUCCAAGAGUUGUCCUUCUUCUUAACUAGUAAGACUGGGCUUGAAUACGGACUGUGACUCGGUCUGAUAGAUCCCGCGUCUAACAUCUCUUGGACUAGCUUUUCCAUUGCCUCUUUAUGUGCCUGAGGAUAACGGUAUGGCCGUACACUUAUAGGACCACAACCUGGUUGCAGGUUAAUUGCAUGCUCCCUUCCUCGUAUUGGUGGUAAGGAAGUUGGUUUGUCAAAGAUGUGAUCAAAUCUUUCCAGAACCUCUGCAAUCGGUUGUGCUAUUUCUGUAUUUUUCUUGUUGGAACUUCAAUAUUGCCCAACGAAAUGCUUGCUCUGUUAUGCUUGACCAUAUACUCGGGUUGCAUAUUCUUGAAAGAGAGCUUCUGAUUGUGUAAGGUGGGAUCCCCAACCAGUGUGAUUUGUUUCCCUUGGUACAUGAAGGAAAACUCGUGUAGUUCCCAGUCUAUUGUGCAACGGCCCAAUGUGCGCAACCACUGAACUCCGAGUAUCACAUCUGCUGUUCCCAAUUCCAGGACAAUAAAAUCAGCUCGGAAAGUGAAACCUUGUAUGCUCAACUCUACUGUUCUACAAAUACCAAGUCCUUGGACUGAUACUCUAGUUCCCAACAGCACUUCCAAGUGAGGAUUUGUCACCGUUUUCAAUCUCAACCUGUUGACCAAACCCGGUGGACUAAUGAAGUUAUAUGUUGCCCCACUGUCUAGCAUCACUAUAACCUGUGAUUUCUUAAUGCAGCCCUUCAUCUUUGUUGUUGUCGGUGAGCUUAUUCCCAGGAACGAGUUUAAAGAUAGUUUCAUCAAUUCAGGUUCCUCUACCACAUAAUCCUCUUCCACUUCAAUCAGAUUUUGAUCUAAUAUUUCCAUCUCAAAACCAUUCACCACUAUCAAAACCUGCAGAGUUUGGUUGGCACAACGGUGUGUGCGUGACCAUUUUUCAUCGCAUUUGAAACAUAAGCCCAAUCGUUUCUUCUCUGCUAUCUGAGCUUCUGUCAAACGCAGUUGUGGUCUUGUCUGUUGUGCCUUAUUCCCGUUCUGACCAGCGUUGUUGGUUAUUUGCUUCAUCUUCCAAGGAGGAAGUGAUUGGCUUGAAUAUGACUUGUUCACAUGUAGUGUUGUUGUUUUAUUCGAUUGUUGCAUCUCUCUUUUCACCACACUGUGUAUGCAACUGUUUUCCAUUUGAUACGUCGAAGCUAUCAUUUCUGGUAAGUCCACUGGUUUACACAUGUUUACUACUUCUCUCAUUUCCGGAGUUAGUCCGUUCAUGAAUAUUCCCUCCUUUUGUUUGUUUGUUACCCCUGUGACUUGAGGUGAGAGGUCUUCAAACAAAUGUAUAUCUUCAACCACCGAUCCCGUUUGUUGAAUAUUAAAGAAUGGCUGACUCGGAUCUCUGAGUUUCACUCGACUGAAACGAGCGAACAAUCUCUCUUUGAAAUCUUUCCAAUCUGCGAAUGGUUUCCUUUGUGUCUCGCUGUUAAACCAGCUCAAAACAUCUCCCACAAGACUGAUUGAAACCGUAUCCAGUUUCUCUUCUUCGGAAUAACCUCCAAUCCGAAAGAAUCGUUCAGCUAAGGCGAUCCAUCCGUAUGAAUCUUGGCCGUCAAAUAUCGGAAGAUCUACUCGUCUCAACAUACUCUCCCGAGUACUAACAAUCGUGUUCCUAACUCUAUUUUCCUCUGAUCUAUCACUAAGGCCAGGUUCCAUGUUAGUUCGACGUACCUGAUUUGCUUGAUGACGGUAAUCUGAAUUCGGAAACUCCAUCACCUCCGGCGAGUCUGGUGGAUCUCGCUGCAUCAUCGCAAAACUCCGAGAAUUUAGAAUCCAUUUGUUUCAUCUGUUUUGCCAUCUCCGUCAUCAUUGCGUGAGUUAAUGCUUCGCUUUUCAGCUGCUCCGUUUUAUGAUCCAUCACCGUUUGAGCUAGGGAUUCCAAUGUCACCGGUGGAAUCGUCGGAAUCUCCGUAACCUGAUUUGAGGACUUGUGCUUCGAAUUUGUUGACGCCAUUACUUCUCGAUUCGCGAAGUGCGAUCCAGAGCGCUCACGACGCACCAAUUUGUUAAGGAAAAAGCUCUUUAUUGAUUGAAAAGAAGAAUUACAAUCCCAAGCGUAUAAGAAUCCACUUGAUCUCCACAAUCCAGAGAAUCAACACUCUCAAUUUCUAACUGACUGAAAAUAUCUAAUACUCUCAACCUUUUAUACUCAAGGUUGUUACAGGUUUGACUCUGUUGACUUAUACUAAUCAACCAACUAAAACUUGACAGCUCAUCCUUCCGUUGACCCUUCUUCUUGACCAUUUCCUCUCUUUCCUUUGCGAUAGUAUGACCUCCACGGCAUAUCAUUAAUCUAUUACCAAGCUCUUCAUAUACUCCGGUGGCACAAAGAGGUACUGGCGUUUUCAGAAACAUAUGUGUGUAACUUUAUCCCGACACAUCUAUUCUUUCUUACGUAUUGCACAUGUUUUUGGUGUUUUCAUUGUGAUGGAUAUUUGGUAUUCGUAGGUUCUUUGUUGCAUCAUGGAGAAUCCUUGAUCUCUAUAUUUGACUCUCGUCAUUUUCAUGAGGCACAUGACUCUUGACAUUCUUAAAUCAUCAACAAACUUUUUCAAAUUUUUUUUUAAAAAAAAACCUCUAAGAGAUUUACCAUUAGACACUAUAAAACUAAGGGUUUCUUAUAUAGAUUUCUUAUAUAGAUUUCUUAACCUAUUUUAAUAAUAAGAAAAUGCUUUAAGAAACUCAUAUCAGUUUUUGCGAUAAUCAUACUUGUCCGUAUAG